UACGUAGGUGGCAAGCGUUAUCCGGAUUUAUUGGGUGUAAAGGGCGUGUAGGCGGGAGCGCAAGUCAGAUGUGAAAACUCAGGGCUCAACCCUGAGCCUGCAUUUGAAACUGUGUUUCUUGAGUGCUGGAGAGGCAAUCGGAAUUCCGUGUGUAGCGGUGAAAUGCGUAGAUAUACGGAGGAACACCAGUGGCGGAGGCGGUCUGCUGGACAGCAACUGACGCUGAGGCGCGAAAGCGUGGGGAGCAAACAGG
rnacentral:rRNA from 1 species